GCACCUGGAGGCCAAGAGGUGUGGCACCAUGUGAUGACCUUUGUAGUUCCUGGGGAGAGUCUGUCCCACAGCCUCUGGCUGUCCCCACCACUGUGUGUGCUUGGAUGUAAUAUGCCAAGUCCCCUUGGACAGGCGAAGCACCUCAGGGCCUCCUUGUUGUCCUGAAGGUGGUCUCGGGUGACUUUUUCUUAUGUGGUUCUGUUUCUCUGGUGCCAGGGUGGGGAGCAGGAAGCGCCCGCCCUCAUCUCUGACUUAAAAUGAGAAUGUUAAUUGUGAUGUGCGACUCUCUCAUAAUUAAACUGACUCAUUCCCAACCAGUGAGGUUACGGUGCAUAAUGUAUUUAAUUACCCACAUCUCUGGCACACGUUGGCAGGACAGCCCUGGAAAGUUCUAGAUGUAAUACGCUUAAUUAUGAAAUAAAUCACUAUUUAGAUUGAUGCACAUCUGGGCCUUCUAUGCUCUAAGGACCAGUAGCAUAUAGGGUGGGGCCUGGCACCCUCAGCCUGGGCAGGACUGAUGGGCUCUUUUGUUCUGACGGAGGCAGCUCCAGUGCUGGGCUAGAGGGCCUGACGAAACCACAGCAACACCUGGAACUUGUGGGACAGUGGACAUCUGCCAUGUGUCCUGUGGCUUGGAGCAG
rnacentral:lncRNA from 1 species